ACCCUAUCCAGUCCCGCACUACAAGCCCCACAAUGCACCGCCGUUGUCGCGACUGGUCGCCAGCCAGCGGGUGGCGUGAGUGGGGGUCGCUGGCCAGCGUGUAGGGACCUCCCUCUCGGCCUGCCAGGUGCGGUGAGGCGCGCGAGGCUGUUCCCGGGGAGGGUGGCGCUCGGCGGUAUUUGCUACCAACUGUUGCGCACUUGCCGGAAGCCAUGUGAUUAAAUGACCGCUUUCUCAGUUGCCUCUUGCAGUACCUAGCAAAGGGAAAUUGAGACCCAGGAGACAAGCAAUUUGCCCUAGAGCGCACCGUAGUACAUUGGUAGAACUUGCAUUCAAACCCAAGCGAUCUAUUUUCCAGGUGUCCCUCAAGAUCCUGGGGAAGAAAUUGGAAUCAAUUCGCAGGUAUCACCCGCCUAGGGAGUGGUAGAGACUCAGUGAGAACUUGACACCAUGACCCUUAGCGCCUCAGCUUUCCUUUGGCGGCCUCUGAAAGCCUAAGGGUUGCGCCAUAUUAGUGUCCUGGGCGAAUUGAUGAAGGAAGCAGGAGUCAUAACGUUUAGACCGACCACCUUGUCCUCUCUCACCCCAAGGGAUUGUCAAGGCUUCCAGAUACAGUUUUCUCAUAUUUUGACCCACGUCCUCUUGAAGGCCAGCUUCUCACAUGCUGUGGACCUACUCUAG
rnacentral:lncRNA from 1 species